GUCUCGGUAGAGCAUUGGAUUGCGCUUUGGACUUCUAAUCCAAAGGUCGUGGGUUUGAAUCCCGCCUGGGAUG